rnacentral:tRNA from 1 species
CGGGAUGUGGCUCAGUUUGGUAGAGUGCUGCGUUCGGGACGCAGAGGUCGCAGGUUCGAAUCCUGUCAUCCCGAC